rnacentral:rRNA from 1 species
CAGAAACUACAAAGGAAUUGACGGGGCCCGCACAAGCGGAGGAGCAUGUGGUUUAAUUCGAUGAUACGCGAGGAACCUUACCUGGGCUCGAACGUAAGAUGACUGUAGGUGAAAGCUUACAUCUCUUCGGAGCAUUUUACGAGGUGCUGCAUGGUUGUCGUCAGCUCGUGCCGUGAGGUGUCGGGUUAAGUCCCAUAACGAGCGCAACCCCUACCUUUAGUUGCCAUCAGGUAAUGCUGGGGACUCUAAAGGAACUGCCUACGCAAGUAGUGAGGAAGGCGGGGAUGACGUCAAAUCAGCACGGCCCUUACGUCCAGGGCUACACACGUGCUACAAUGGCCGAUACAGAGGGCAGCUACCUGGUGACAGGAUGCAAAUCUCCAAAGUCGGUCUCAGUUCGGAUCGGAGUCUGCAACCCGACUCCGUGAAGUUGGAUUCGCUAGUAAUCGUGAAUCAGAAUGUCACGGUGAAUACGUUCCCGGGCCUU